AUUGAACGCUGGCGGCAGGCCUAACACAUGCAAGUCGAGCGGAUGAAGGGAGCUUGCUCCUGGAUUCAGCGGCGGACGGGUGAGUAAUGCCUAGGAAUCUGCCUGGUAGUGGGGGAUAACGUCCGGAAACGGGCGCUAAUACCGCAUACGUCCUGAGGGAGAAAGUGGGGGAUGUUCGGACCUCACGCUAUCAGAUGAGCCUAGGUCGGAUUAGCUAGUUGGUGGGGUAAAGGCCUACCAAGGCGACGAUCCGUAACUGGUCUGAGAGGAUGAUCAGUCACACUGGAACGGAGACACGGUCCAGACUCCUACGGGAGGCAGCAGUGGGGAAUAUUGGACAAUGGGCGAAAGCCUGAUCCAGCCAUGCCGCGUGUGUGAAGAAGGUCUUCGGAUUGUAAAGCACUUUAAGUUGGGAGGAAGGGCAGUAAGUUAAUACCUUGCUGUUUUGACGUUACCAACAGAAUAAGCACCGGCUAACUUCGUG
rnacentral:rRNA from 1 species